UUAGCACAAAGUGAGGACUGCAACACUUGGGUUUGUUCACCAAGUCCAGAGCAAGGCGCCAGAAAUUCUUGGCUUCCUCUAAACAGCUGCACAGAAGCAGCGGCCAAACCCAUCUUGUGUUUGAUGAGUCAUCCCGCGUCAGCCCUGUGCUGCUCAGGCCUCUACGGGUGCUUCCUCAGCAGCUGCAUCUGGCUCAGGCUUUUUCCAGAAGACAAGGUAGCCAAGUACUCAAGCUCAGGCGUUGAUGGGCACUCUCUGACUCCAGAUCUGUCUUCUCAAGGUGUCUGCAAUGAAAGCCUGUCUAAAUAUUUGGAAGAUUCCUUCAAGCAACCUGUGUUUUAUGGUGUUGGGCAGUUGGUUGUCUCUAAACUUGCACGUUGGUAAGAUGGCCACAAGAUGGCAGGGUAGCCUCGACGAUUGGUGAAUUGGCGUCGUCUCUUGCACCAGUAGAGGGCUGUAGCUCCUUGUUUCAAAAAGUGAGAAGUGAAAACAGGAAAAGAAAAAGCAAAACAAUAAAACUUCAGUGGCUACAAUGAUGACAUGGGAUGGUGGUAGGUGUUUUUUUCUUUUUGCUUUCUUGUCCUUUGUUAAGUUAGCCAGUGAGAGUUCAAACAAACAAGUCUCCACGUUCACCACCAUGUUUGCUUUUGGAGGCACGAGGUCAGGGCUCGGGCCAGCCGCCUAGCCUGCAUUAUUCAUCUCUCCAGCUCCAGCCCUGGAACAAAUGUGAAGAAAUGAAGUAGCUCCAGCGGAGGGCAAACAGUGUUGUUAUUGUUGUUGGUGACACUUCCAUUUGCCAACAAACAUAAAAACAUACUUUGGAACCCAGAAUGGGCUUGUCAGAGGGAACUUUUGUUCCAUGUUUGGGCUGGGAGGCUUCCAGAUAGAAAUCAGGCUGGCAUUUGAACUUGGGGAGGCAGGGAGAGAACUGAGCACAGCAGCCGCUGACCCGAAAGGUCUGGCCCUCAGCUGCAGUUUGCAUCUGGGUGUUCUUUGACCGCUGUCCAUGUGGCACCGUGCUGCCAGCUGGGGUCGCUGGCCUGCAUGGGUACUCCAGGCGAGGAGUGUAGGGCGUGCAGUCCAGGACAGGUGCUAUCCACAAAGGGGAUAACAGACUUUGGAUUCUGAGCUUUUGGAAGGUGGUCCUCACUUUGGGGCUUUGGGAUAAGAAAACUAGUCCUAAUUCUGCAGGAUUUAUUUGCUGUCAGGUCCCAAUUAUCCCAAGAUAGUUGGCAGCAUCCUUAGGAUCCCUUUACAACAUGGACUAAUUGCUCUAGGGAUAAAGCCAUCCUUAACCGUGUCUGCUGGUGCUAGUUUUGGGCAGGUAAACUCAUGCUGAUGCCCGUCUAGAAGGCAUAAUUCAGAGGGCCAAUUAUGUGACUGCUGCCACAUAAUUCAAGGUGGAGGGCCUCUCCAAAGCUGUCCAGGGGCUACUGCCUCUCUCUACAGAUGGACUGGACUUACACUAGCAUGGUGUCUAUUUGGAAAGAGGUAAGCUUGAUGAAUUAUGACCGUGGUGAAUGUCAUUAAGACACGGUAGAACUGGAAGCAUCCCAUGCAUGUAAAUUCACUGCUUCUCACAUAACCGUCCCCAAGGCCACGGCCUCACAAUGUCAAGUCUCACUUUACAUUAAGCUUGAAAGCUGGAAAAGUAUCUUAGAGAUGACACGGCCAGAAUUGCCAUAUCUGUGUUGGCAAGUUCCCUCCCAGGAGUGGUUCAAAGAUGGUGGAUGAUGAGCCCCUUUUUUUGCAAAUAAAGUAACGGCUCCUGGAAGGGCAGCCAUGGCCCCAGUCACACUCCUAAUUGGGGC
rnacentral:lncRNA from 1 species